rnacentral:tRNA from 1 species
GGUCGAUUAGCUCAGUUGGUUAGAGCGCCGUACUAAUAUCCUCGUGGAUGAAAUGCGGAUGUCAUGGGUUCGACCCCCAUAUUGACCA